rnacentral:tRNA from 3 species
GCCCAGGUGGCGAAAUUGGUAGACGCACUGGAUUUAGGUUCCAGCGCCGCAAGGUGUGGAGGUUCGAGUCCUCUCCUGGGCACCA